GACGAACGCUGGCGGCGUGCUUAACACAUGCAAGUCGAACGCUGAAGCUCAGCUUGCUGGGUGGAUGAGUGGCGAACGGGUGAGUAACACGUGAGUAACCUGCCCCCUUCUUUGGGAUAACGCCCGGAAACGGGUGCUAAUACUGGAUAUUCACUGAUCUUCGCAUGGGGGUUGGUGGAAAGGUUUUUUCUGGUGGGGGAUGGGCUCGCGGCCUAUCAGCUUGUUGGUGGGGUGAUGGCCUACCAAGGCUUUGACGGGUAGCCGGCCUGAGAGGGUGACCGGUCACAUUGGGACUGAGAUACGGCCCAGACUCCUACGGGAGGCAGCAGUGGGGAAUAUUGCACAAUGGGCGAAAGCCUGAUGCAGCGACGCCGCGUGAGGGAUGGAGGCCGUCGGGUUGUAAACCUCUUUCGCUCAUGGUCAAGCCGCAACAUUGGUUGUGGUGAGGGUAGUGGGUAAAGAAGCGCCGGCUAACUACGUG
rnacentral:rRNA from 1 species